UGAGGAACAUGACCUUCGGCGGGGGAUAGCCGGCCCAACAGCCGGGUAAUACCGCGUACGACCUUUCGGGGACAUCCCCGGCUGGUGAAAGCAGCAAUGCGCCGAAGGAGUGCCUCGCGGCCUAUCAGCUAGUUGGUGAGGUAACGGCUCACCAAGGCGACGACGGGUAGCUGGUCUGAGAGGAUGACCGGCCACACUGGGACUGAGACACGGCCCAGGCUCCGUACGGGAGGCAGCAGG
rnacentral:rRNA from 1 species